CAAGAGCGUAUAUUAAAGUUGCUGCGGUUAAAAAGCUCGUAGUUGGAUUUCAGUCUAGGAAGGUUAACUCGCCGAAAGGUUGUACGUUGAUUUUCCUCAGACUUCGUCAGAAGCUCGUGCUGCACUUAACUGUGUGGUACGAUGUUCUGACCUUUUACCUUGAGGAAAGUAGAGUGUUUCAGGCAGGCUACCCAGCUUGAAUACAUUAGCAUGGAAUAAUGAAAUGGAUCUCGGUUCGAUUUCGUUGGUUCUAGAGCUGAGGUGAUGAUCAAUAGGAACAGGCGAAGGUAUUCGUACUUGAGAGUGAGGAGUGAAAUCCGAUGAUCUCUUAAAGACGACCCGAGGCGAAAGCAUUUGUCAAGGAUGUUUUCAUUGA
rnacentral:rRNA from 1 species